UCACCCAAAAUUUUUUCUCACCUGACGUCAUCGAUCUAUAGUAAUCGUCGACGACGAAAAUCAGCUAGCCAAAUUCCUCAGUCCGGGAACAACCGCGCAGUAGAGAAGACGUAUGAGAAUCGCACUGAGCUGAUUUCAAGUACCAGGUUCUCUACCUCCUGGAUCCGGCGUUCCAGAUCCGCUACGUGGUGAAACUCGACUUCCAGGACAAGCGCUCCGUGGUUUCUGUGCGCCAGGUCCCCUACUUGGUGAAACUCGACUUCCAGGACAAGCGCUCCGUAGUUUCUGCGCUCUAGGUCCUCUAUCUGGUAAAUUUCGACCUCCAGGAUAAGCGCACCGUAGUUCCUGCGCCCCAGGUGAUUUACCUGACGAAUUACGACCUCCAAGUCCUCUACCUGGUGAAUUUCGACCUCCAGGACGAGUGCUCCGUAGUUCCUGCUCAGUGCAGUGGGCAGUGAAGGCGUGAAGUAUCUCAUUCAUUUCGUAUCAAUUGGUAAAACACUGAUAACGAGUAAGAAAGCGCAGCGAACACACAGCUAAAAAAUGUUAAAAACACAGGUUCUGGUUUUCUGGCUGUAACUUUUGAUUUGUUGCUCGCAGCGUAUUCGAACUGCACCCAGUCGAUUUCUUGUAAAAUUGCGUCGGAAUAGUGCAACAAAGAAUUUAUUCUAGCAUUUUUCAAAAUCUCGAAAAUUUUCGCUAAACAUACAAAGCCUUUCUUUGCUUAUUUUUUGACCAUAAACUUGUUGCUGUUUAGUUGUUAUUAUUUAAUUAUUAUAACUGUUUCCAUUCAAAUUAAUAUGUUCCAAUCACUAUUACUUGAUUAUUAGCGUUUCCGUUUUAGUUAUUGUCAUUACUUUGUCUCGAAUAUCCGAUUUCAUUUGUUGUCAUAUUAAAAUAAAAAUGACAACUAAAUGAUGAAAAUGUUGCGUAAGGCAUUUAUACUUGAGUUCUCGCUAUUGAUGUUUUCCUUUGGUGGAAAUAUUUCGAAAUGUAGAACCGUGAACUAAUUGAUCGUCACGACCUGAUUUUCACGAAACAAAUAAUCAAUAAUACCGAUCGCGGAAUCGCAGGAAAUCUGUUGCGCGCAGAAGGUCUUGUUCAGAAUUUGUUUGCCUUUCCGAAUGGAAUGUCCUUUGAUAAGAAAUUUAAAAUUGUUUUAUUCAGAUAGGACGAUCAUUCAUAAAUGCGAUAAGCUUCGGACGAUGUGGUUUUUCAUUGUGAAUGAGAAAUUGUAAAAGAUUGCCCAGGAAUAAUAAAAUAAUAUUUAACUGCAAAGAAUAUGAACAUCUCUCUCUCGUCGCCAGAAAUCUCGAAAGGUACGGGGAGACAUGGGUCCCCUAAACCGAUAAGCUAUACGGCUCAGAGCGUCCUUUGUAACAGCUCUGAGUGUGCGUUAGAUCCUUCGCGGAAGUUGCUUCCGAGAUUUGUUGGAUCAUUCACUCGUGAACAAGUAAACCGUGUGUUAACCUGGGGCCGAUUUUGGCGUCGCGAGCAUGGGGACGAGAGAGAUGGAGGGAGAGAAACAGAGAAUUAAAAUUACUACCAUCAGAGGAGGGUUCUUCUCUCAGAGAUUCGGAAUAAAAUUCGGAGUCGUGAUGACGCAUGAAAUGAAAAUAUUUAUUCGAUCCUGCGGAACCUUGAUCCAAGAAUACCACAUUGUGGGUUACUUACCGUAGCGCUAAAUAAUAUAUAAGUAAUAAAUAACAAAUAAAUAAGUAUAGAUUUAAUUUAUACUGAAAUCAAGGAUUCUGGGGACAUUGAGCAUUAUCAGUUGCGUGCGCACUCCUCCCCACUCCGCACUUGGCGAUGGAAGGGGGGGUUUUCUGACCGUAUGAACGAUCACGCUGGAGCGAGAGCGGCCUGUCUAUAGAGGACUUCGGUACUAAAUAUAUCGUGACGAUAAAGGGAUUUAGAGACGAACCUUUUCUUGUUAUACAUAUAACCCGUAUAACCUCUUUCCUUAACCUAACACGAACAAAACUUUUGGUCUCAGAUUCGAUUUGUAUGACCCUUUUCUGACUAAUUCCACCUCCAGGAACUCAGAAAAAUCAUCGAAAAAAGGUCGGUAUCAAUAGCAGACAAAUUACGAAGGAAAUCUUUUAAUAAAAAUUAUGUAUCCACAAAAAUUCUCAAGACUUUUUCGACCUUUACAUAUAAAAACUAGGGAUUUUUUUUUUUUUAUCCAAGAUUAAUACAUCGAGUUGAAGAGCUAAUAUUUUACAUAUCAUCACGUGUGAUCACGUAAAAUAAUACAAUGGCACAGCAAACAAAUCGACUUUUGAAUGCCAAAUUAUCCAUAUUGAUUAUAAAUUUAAUAACUGUAGUUCAAACUGACAUGUUUGUAUGCACUGGUUUUUGAAUAAGAGUAAAAAGUAUGAAUUGAAAAGCGCGUGUGUGCAGCAUGCGCAUUGUUGCUAUUCUACGUAUAACACGGUUUCCUUUAUAAACCGGAUUUUACAGAGGCGAAUCUAGGACUCAUGAUAAUAAAACAGUUUUGGAUGUGUAAUACUUAUUUUUUGGCAUUCACACGGUUUUAUACGAUUCCGUAACGUAUAUCUAGGUAUUGUAUAAUGGAUUGAUCAAAUCCUGGAUUAGAAUAGAAACCUGUAAUGGAUUCUUUGGCUGCUGUUAUAGCUCUGUAAAUAAAUCUUUAA
rnacentral:lncRNA from 1 species